GCGAACGAACAGCUGAUAGCGGUGUGUCUACAUUUUAAAAAAAAGCAAGGCCUGCAAGACGUCGAUAGUGGAAAUUUCAGCUCAACUAACGUAUGACAGAUUAUAAAGCUUAAAGCAGACUCUUGUUACCACAUGGCUUUUACCUGUUGAUUCUUGUGGUUUCAGCUCUUGAGGUUAACCUGUCACCUCUACCCACAUGCAUAUUCCUUGUGUUCUACAGACUAUCUACCGGUAAUUCAAAUUAAAUCGGAUAAUGCAUGAACAAUAAUGGAACUUUAAGAAAGCAUCAUGUCCUAUUGUGGUUUGUUCAUGUUUGAUAAGAAAUUAUGAAAAACAAAAUUAAGGCUGUUUAAAGAAAUAUAAUUGUUGUGAAAAUUUGUUUUUCAAUAAAAGUAUGCAAUUAUG